UACGGAGGGUGCGAGCGUUAUCCGGAUUCACUGGGUUUAAAGGGUGCGUAGGUGGGUCUGUAAGUCAGUGGUGAAAUCUCCGGGCUUAACCUGGAAACUGCCAUUGAUACUAUAGGUCUUGAAUUUUCUGGAGGUAAGCGGAAUAUGUCAUGUAGCGGUGAAAUGCUUAGAUAUGACAUAGAACACCAAUUGCGAAAGGCAGCUUGCUACAGGAAUAUUGACACUGAGGCACGAAAAGCGUGGGGAUCGAAACAGGAUUAGAACC
rnacentral:rRNA from 1 species